rnacentral:rRNA from 1 species
GGUCAAGUGAAGAAGCGCAUACGGUGGAUGCCUUGGCAGUCAGAGGCGAUGAAAGACGUGGUAGCCUGCGAAAAGCUUCGGGGAGUCGGCAAACAGACUUUGAUCCGGAGAUGUCUGAAUGGGGGAACCCAGCCAUCAUAAGAUGGUUAUCUUGUACUGAAUACAUAGGUGCAAGAGGCGAACCAGGGGAACUGAAACAUCUAAGUACCCUGAGGAAAAGAAAUCAACCGAGAUUCCCUUAGUAGUGGCGAGCGAACGGGGACUAGCCCUUAAGUGGCUUUGAGAUUAGCGGAACGCUCUGGAAAGUGCGGCCAUAGUGGGUGAUAGCCCUGUACGCGAAAAUCUCUUAGUCAUGAAAUCGAGUAGGACGGAGCACGAGAAACUUUGUCUGAAUAUGGGGGGACCAUCCUCCAAGGCUAAAUACUACUGACUGACCGAUAGUGAACUAGUACCGUGAGGGAAAGGCGAAAAGAACCCCGGAGAGGGGAGUGAAAUAGAUCCUGAAACCGUAUGCGUACAAGCAGUGGGAGCAGACUUUGUUCUGUGACUGCGUACCUUUUGUAUAAUGGGUCAGCGACUUAUUUUCAGUGGCGAGCUUAACCGAAUAGGGGAGGCGUAGCGAAAGCGAGUCUUAAUAGGGCGUCUAGUCGCUGGGAAUAGACCCGAAACCGGGCGAUCUAUCCAUGGGCAGGUUGAAGGUUAGGUAACACUGACUGGAGGACCGAACCGACUACCGUUGAAAAGUUAGCGGAUGACCUGUGGAUCGGAGUGAAAGGCUAAUCAAGCUCGGAGAUAGCUGGUUCUCCUCGAAAGCUAUUUAGGUAGCGCCUCAUGUAUCACUGUAGGGGGUAGAGCACUGUUUCGGCUAGGGGGUCAUCCCGACUUACCAAACCGAUGCAAACUCCGAAUACCUACAAGUGCCGAGCAUGGGAGACACACGGCGGGUGCUAACGUCCGUCGUGAAAAGGGAAACAACCCAGACCGUCAGCUAAGGUCCCAAAGUUAUGGUUAAGUGGGAAACGAUGUGGGAAGGCUUAGACAGCUAGGAGGUUGGCUUAGAAGCAGCCACCCUUUAAAGAAAGCGUAAUAGCUCACUAGUCGAGUCGGCCUGCGCGGAAGAUGUAACGGGGCUCAAACCAUACACCGAAGCUACGGGUAUCAUCUUAGGAUGAUGCGGUAGAGGAGCGUUCUGUAAGCCUGUGAAGGUGAGUUGAGAAGCUUGCUGGAGGUAUCAGAAGUGCGAAUGCUGACAUGAGUAACGACAAUGGGUGUGAAAAACACCCACGCCGAAAGACCAAGGUUUCCUGCGCAACGUUAAUCGACGCAGGGUUAGUCGGUCCUUAAGGCGAGGCUGAAAAGCGUAGUCGAUGGAAAACAGGUUAAUAUUCCUGUACUUCUGGUUAUUGCGAUGGAGGGACGGAGAAGGCUAGGCCAGCUUGGCGUUGGUUGUCCAAGUUUAAGGUGGUAGGCUGAGAUCUUAGGUAAAUCCGGGAUCUUAAGGCCGAGAGCUGAUGACGAGUUACCCUUUGGGUGACGAAGUGGUUGAUGCCAUGCUUCCAAGAAAAGCUUCUAAGCUUCAGGUAACCAGGAACCGUACCCCAAACCGACACAGGUGGUUGGGUAGAGAAUACCAAGGCGCUUGAGAGAACUCGGGUGAAGGAACUAGGCAAAAUGGCACCGUAACUUCGGGAGAAGGUGCGCCGGUGAGGGUGAAGGACUUGCUCCGUAAGCUCAUGCCGGUCGAAGAUACCAGGCCGCUGCGACUGUUUAUUAAAAACACAGCACUCUGCAAACACGAAAGUGGACGUAUAGGGUGUGACGCCUGCCCGGUGCCGGAAGGUUAAUUGAUGGGGUUAGCUAACGCGAAGCUCUUGAUCGAAGCCCCGGUAAACGGCGGCCGUAACUAUAACGGUCCUAAGGUAGCGAAAUUCCUUGUCGGGUAAGUUCCGACCUGCACGAAUGGCGUAACGAUGGCGGCGCUGUCUCCACCCGAGACUCAGUGAAAUUGAAAUCGCUGUGAAGAUGCAGUGUAUCCGCGGCUAGACGGAAAGACCCCGUGAACCUUUACUAUAGCUUUGCACUGGACUUUGAAUUUGCUUGUGUAGGAUAGGUGGGAGGCUUUGAAGCGUGGACGCCAGUUCGCGUGGAGCCAUCCUUGAAAUACCACCCUGGCAACUUUGAGGUUCUAACUCAGGUCCGUUAUCCGGAUCGAGGACAGUGUAUGGUGGGUAGUUUGACUGGGGCGGUCUCCUCCUAAAGAGUAACGGAGGAGUACGAAGGUGCGCUCAGACCGGUCGGAAAUCGGUCGUAGAGUAUAAAGGCAAAAGCGCGCUUGACUGCGAGACAGACACGUCGAGCAGGUACGAAAGUAGGUCUUAGUGAUCCGGUGGUUCUGUAUGGAAGGGCCAUCGCUCAACGGAUAAAAGGUACUCCGGGGAUAACAGGCUGAUACCGCCCAAGAGUUCAUAUCGACGGCGGUGUUUGGCACCUCGAUGUCGGCUCAUCACAUCCUGGGGCUGAAGCCGGUCCCAAGGGUAUGGCUGUUCGCCAUUUAAAGUGGUACGCGAGCUGGGUUUAGAACGUCGUGAGACAGUUCGGUCCCUAUCUGCCGUGGACGUUUGAGAUUUGAGAGGGGCUGCUCCUAGUACGAGAGGACCGGAGUGGACGAACCUCUGGUGUUCCGGUUGUCACGCCAGUGGCAUUGCCGGGUAGCUAUGUUCGGGAAAGAUAACCGCUGAAAGCAUCUAAGCGGGAAACUUGCCUCAAGAUGAGAUCUCACUGGAACCUUGAGUUCCCUGAAGGGCCGUCGAAGACUACGACGUUGAUAGGUUGGGUGUGUAAGCGCUGUGAGGCGUUGAGCUAACCAAUACUAAUUGCCCGUGAGGCUUGACCAU